rnacentral:rRNA from 1 species
ACCUGCGGAAGGAUCAUUACCUGGCCUGGGGCCGCCCCCGCACAGCAGGGGGCGCUUAGCCCUUGACUAUCACCUUGACUAUGCGCACCUUUGUUGCUUCCUCGGCGGGUCUCCCGCCGCAAGGAAUCCCUUAACCUCUUUGCAAUGGCAUCAAACUGAAACAAACCACAAUUAUUUACAACUUUCAACAAUGGAUCUCUUGGUUCUGGCAUCGAUGAAGAACGCAGCGAAAUGCGAUAAGUAGUGUGAAUUGCAGAAUUCAGUGAAUCAUCGAAUCUUUGAACGCACAUUGCGCCCCUCGGUAUUCCGUGGGGCAUGCCUGUUCGAGCGUCAUUUGACCCCCUCAAGCUCUGCUUGGUGUUGGGCGCCCGUCCCGCCCCGCGCGCGGACUCGCCUUGAAGACAUUGGCGGCGGUCGUGCCAGCUUCCCGCGCAGCACAUUGCGCUUCUCGAGGCUCCGGCGGACCAGCAUCCAGCAAGUCCACCCCCAUUUUGACCUCGGAUCAGGUAGGGAUACCCGCUGAACUUAAGCAUAUCAAUAAGCGGAGGAAAAGAA